AUAUCCCACAGAAGUAUUCGUAUCCGUUAAACUUGGAACUCUGAACAGCCAUCCUGCGUUACCAAAUAAGUAUCAGAUUUUUGUUUUCUAUGGAUUAUUAUCUCUGCUUCAAGGCACUACUAGGAUCUCUGUGCCUACUAGAAAUUGCUGAUACGUUAAUGUAUGCACGUAUUCAUCUUCUGGAUAGUGGAGGAAUAGAUGGCGACAAACAGGGCAAUCUUUCGACUUACUUCAUGUGUCCGGAAGACAACGGAGAAUGCAUUCAGCUCCAUCCACCGCAAGAGUAGUUCUUCGCUCCUUUGAUACUUAAAAAAUGGUUAUUGUUCAACCUGCAACCAAAAUGCCGAUACUGGAGUUUCUUGAGCCUGCAGCUCCUUCCACAUAUGACGUACUGUUUCGGUGCCACCUUGCAAUCCCACCACAGCACCUGAUAUUAUCCAGUCGGGAAGUUUUUGAGGUCUCCCAAUGGUUUCUGUGAAGUGUUCAAUAAGCUCAGUAGGUGAGUUCCCAUGCAGUAUUCUACCUUCAACCAAAUCUCCAUGCGUCUACAAGAAUUUCCAAUAGUUGCAGAUAAUAAGAGAGUGAAAAUUUUGGUUCUUGAGUAAACCUUAUCUGAAUGGAAACUCAAUAUACAGGAAAUAUGUUUUUAUUUCCUUUCUCUGGGGUCCAAGGACUCUUGUUCUGUUUCAUGUUUUCCUCGUUUGUACCGACUUUGAAAAUUAGAUUAUUGGAGUGAAGGAGUAUCUUUAUUCUUAGUCA